rnacentral:tRNA from 1 species
GGCCCUGUGGAGCAGCUAGGAGUGCUCGCCACCCUGUCACGGUGGAGGUCGACGGUUCAAAUCCGUUCAGGGUCG